GGUCGAAAAGUCGAUUUCGUCCUUGCUUUUGUUAGUGUUGGAUAGGUAUCACGAUCGGGAAUCGAGUGGUUUACAUCAACAUCAGAAAGAGCGAAAGAAGAGAGAGGAAAGGAGAAGAUCUCGGUGACAAUAGACCGGUUGCAAGCUGUGAAACUCGGAUUGUAUUGCUAAUCUCAGAAUACAUAGUUGUACUGAAAACAAAUAGAACAGAUUCUGUAGGUUCUACAGUUUCAGAUCCGGGUAACUCACUGCAAGAACUUCAAGGUUUAAAACAGAAUAGCAACUAAAGUGUCAAAGCUGCAGAGUAGAAGCAGGUUUAAAACAGAAUAGCAACUAAAGUUUCAAAGCUGCAGAGUUUCAAAUAAAAGGUUUAAAACAAAACAUCAGUAACUAAGUGUCACAGCUCUAGAGUUUAAAAUCAAGGGUUGAAGUGAAGACAAUAUCUCUAUUUCAUACAGACAUUUUCUGCAGAAGGCUGAUUUGAAGGCAGAUAUAAAGCUGGCAAAACGACCUGAUUUGAAGGCAUUAACCAAAGGCAAGU